AUCCACAUUCCAGGCCUGUGCUCCAGUUCUAUGGGAAACACCAUUCAAUCCAGAAAUAGACAAGAAAGAGGGUUGAAACCUUCAUGACAAUGCUAGAGAAUUAACAGUGAGAGAUGCAUUAAGCAACAACACAGUUUUGCCUUUUACAAGCUCCCUGAGGUUUUUAUUUCAGUCAGAGGACCAAGAUUUCAGUUCAAGUCACUGGAAGAAAAGAGCUGUCAUUUAUGCUCUCUACUUACAGGUAAAUUGUCUUGUGAUUAUUUCCACAGAACUCUGACUUGGAUAAGACUUGUAUCCAUUUUAUUAUGAUGUUCUUCUUUUUUACAAUUUAGUUCCCCAGAGGGCAUGACCAAGGAUUAUAUCUUUUGUGAUGAUAUGAAUGAUACAUCUUAGCCCCUUUACUUGCUAGAUGACUUCUCUUUAUUUCACAAUCAGAUAAGAACAGAGAAGACUCAAGCUGGUUAGCAGAUUUUUUGUUUUCCUCUCAAACUACAGCUACCUAAGAUCAGAACCCUCUGAUCAUUUGUGCUGCUAUUUUAAGAUCCAGUUUCAUUCUACAACUGGCUGAAGCAUGAAGUCAACUAAAAUAAACUGAAUUGAGUGGAACUGAA